AUACGGAGGAUCCGAGCGUUAUCCGGAUUUAUUGGGUUUAAAGGGUGCGCAGGCGGGAGAUUAAGUCGGCGGUGAAAUUUUUCAGCCCCACUGUAAAAGUGCCUUCGGAACUGGGUUCCUUUAGUGUAGAUGAAGUAGGGGGGAUUUUUGGUGUAAGGGUGGAAUGCAUAGAUAUCACGAAGAACUCCGAUCGCGAAGGCAGCCUUCCGGCCCGUCAACGACGCUCAUGCUCGAAGGUGCGGGUAUCAAACAGGAUUAGAUACCCUGGUAGUCCGCACAGUAAACGAUGGACACCCGCGGUUUGGCCUGUAUGGCUGAGCCGCCAAGCGAAAGCGUUAAGUGUCCCACCUGGGGAGUACGCCGGCAACGGUGAAACUCAAAGGAAUUGACGGGG
rnacentral:rRNA from 1 species